rnacentral:lncRNA from 10 species
CAGACUGCUGUGCUAGCAAUUAGCGAGACUCGGUGGGUGUAGGACCGUCCUAGCCAGGUGUGGGAUAUAAUCUUGUGGUGCGCCGUUUUUUAAGCCUGUUGGAAAAGCGCAGUAUUCGGGUGGGAGUGACCCGAUUUUCCAGGUGCUGUCUGUCACCCCUUUCUUUGACUCGGAAAGGGAACUCCCUGAUCCCUUGCGAUUCCCAAGUGAGGCAAUGCCUCACCCUGCUUCGGCUCAUGCACGGUGCGCUCACCCACUGACCUGCGGCCACUGUCUGGCACUCCCUAGUGAGAUGAACCCGGUACCUCAGAUGGAAAUGCAGAAAUCACCCGUCUUCUGUGUCGCUCACGCUGGGAGCUGUAGACCGGAGCUGUUCCUAUUCGGCCAUCUUGGCUCCUCCCCCAAACUAUCUUUUUAAACUUUCAUUAUAAUCCUUGUGUGUGAUUGAACUUAUAAAUGCAAUGAAUGCCUUUCUGGAAAAUAGAAAUAACUAGAAUAGACUCUAAAAAUAAGAAGCUAAUAAUCUUGGAAGGAAAUACUUCUACAGAAGACCAUGAAGGAAGAGGAUUCUUCAGGAUGGUAGAAAGCAAUCUUCAGCCUGAGACCCAUUCCUAGGUAAGUAGCUGAAUUGAGUUUUUUUUCUUGGUUAAAGUAUAACAAUCAACUGGUCUUAAUUUCUCCUUACCAUUAGAGCACUCAGUGAUCAUAUGGCUGGGUUUUUGUUAUUGUUUUUGUUGUUUGUUCCAGUCUUUUCCCCAUCAGAUUUGACCAACUCUACCUGACUUGGUCAAAUCUGAGAAUUCCAAAUUAUGGGUAACAAAACCUUUCUAAUUUGGCUAAAAUUCCUUGCAGCUGCAAAAGAGCAAGAAAACACAGCAACAACAAAAACAAAACCAUGUCCUUGGUUUCUCUGUUUGCUUCCUGUCUUAAAAAAAAAGGUUCUUUCAUUUACUUUUUUUCCACCCCAUAUCUCCUUUCCCUUUUGCCAUCUGCUGUACCAAAAAAUCUAGAGACGGCUUCUAAUGACUUGAACCUCUUUAAAGAAUUCAGAACAAAGGUGCCAUUCACCCAUUGGGGUGUUCUGUUUCCUCUGUGGAGUUUCAAGAGUCAUGGGGAGAUUCUUCUUAGGUCUAAACCUCUGUUUUCCUACAUUGAAUAAUCUGGGCUCUUUGACUUUGGGGGUACCAGAGAUUACUUAAUACUGUGAGAGGAUUUGACCUUGGCACUUGUAAUGGCAGAUGAGAGCUACAAAGUAGGGGUGGUUGUGCAUAGUUUACAGAAAUUGGUCUUAGCUGUUUUUUUUUUUCUCUCCUAGGAAGUUGUUGUUUAAGGAUCCUAAUUCUAGUUCUGAGAUGCAUUCUAAAGAGUCAUCUCUAUCGCUUUUUUCUCCCAAAAUUAAUCUCCAUUUGGCUUGUCUGUGCACAUUUCUAUGAGCAACUGAACUGUUGUUUGCAUAGG